rnacentral:rRNA from 1 species
UACAGAGGGUGCGGGCGUUGUCCGGAAUCACUGGGCGUAAAGGGCGCGUAGGCGGCCUGAUAAGUAGGGGGUGAAAUCUUGCGGCUCAACCGCAAGGCUGCCUUCUAAACUGUCAGGCUGGAGCACGGUAGAGGCAGAUGGAAUUCCCGGUGUAGCGGUGGAAUGCGUAGAGAUCGGGAAGAACACCAGUGGCGAAGGCGGUCUGCUGGGCCGUUGCUGACGCUGAGGCGCGACAGCGUGGGGAGCAAACAGG